UACGUAGGGUGCGAGCGUUAAUCGGAAUUACUGGGCGUAAAGCGUGCGCAGGCGGUUUGUUAAGACAGGUGUGAAAUCCCCCGGGCUUACCUGGGAACUGCAUUUGUGACUGCAUAGCUAGAGUACGGUAGAGGGGGAUGGAAUUCCGCGUGUAGCAGUGAAAUGCGUAGAUAUGCGGAGGAACACCGAUGGCGAAGGCAGAUCUCUGGGCCGUAACUGACGCUUGAGGAGCGAAAGCGUGGGGAGCGAACAGG
rnacentral:rRNA from 1 species